GACGGUGGCAUAGUGGUUAGCACUGUUGCCUUGCAAGAAGAAGGUUCCGGGUUCAAAUCUGGGUCUGACC
rnacentral:tRNA from 1 species